GACGAACGCUGGCGGCGUGCCUAAUACAUGCAAGUCGUGCGGACCUUGUUGAAAGCUUGCUUUUAAAAGGUUAGCGGCGGACGGGUGAGUAACACGUGGGCAACCUGCCUGUAAGACUGGGCUAACGCCGGGAAACCGGGGCUAAUACCAGAUCGUUUUUUCCUCCGCAUGGAGGAAAAAGGAAAGGCGGCUUCGGCUGCCACUUACAGAUGGGCCCGCGGCGCAUUAGCUAGUUGGCGGGGUAAUGGCCCACCAAGGCAACGAUGCGUAGCCGACCUGAGAGGGUGAUCGGCCACAUUGGGACUGAGACACGGCCCAAACUCCUACGGGAGGCAGCAGUAGGGAAUCUUCCGCAAUGGACGAAAGUCUGACGGAGCAACGCCGCGUGAGUGAAGAAGGCCUUCGGGUCGUAAAACUCUGUUGCCGGGGAAGAACAAGUGCCGUUCGAACAGGGCGGCGCCUUGACGGUACCCGGCCAGAAAGCCACGGCUAACUACGUG
rnacentral:rRNA from 1 species